rnacentral:lncRNA from 1 species
CAGUUGCUUCACAGCCCUCUAUUAAUUCAGAUUCACUGCUUAAUGCAAGACCAAAUUGAGAGCAGUUCUGCACAAGAAGAGGCUUAGUGCCCUUCUGCAAAUGCAGGUGUGGCUGAGCACCACUAGACCAGGCCAGAGAAGCUCAGUGCUGAUGGUGGAGGCAAAAUUACUCUGGCCAGACGCAUCUCAUCACACUUCCACAGCUGGUCCUGCACAUCCCAUAAGCACCUCAUGCACUUGUGUAAUAGAACAUCAAUAUCACUGGAAAGAAGAGGUAUGGAUGCUAGCUUUGGAACAGGCUGCAGGGAGCUGCAGAAACUGCAGGCCCAUGGCCUCUCAGUCCUGCCUGAGAAGCUAGCCUGAGAAAAUUCAUAAGAGGAUUUCAAAACAAUCCUCAGAGACAGAAAACAACUGCCAGGUGCUGUUUGUCUGUCCUCUUGUUUUCCUUGCAGGAGAAAGUCAGGGGGGUGGUGAGCCCCACUGACCAAUGAUGGUGAUGCUUUCUGUAUUUUCCACGUAUCUGUCUAUAAGACAAGCCUGGAGCAAUAAACUAGGGAAUUCUCGUGUUGUGACUCCCUUG